rnacentral:rRNA from 1 species
GACGAACCGAGCGAACGUUGUUCGGAAUCACUGGGCUUAAAGGGCGCGUAGGCGGCUUGCCAAGUCAGGAGUGAAAUCUUUCGGCUCAACCGGAAAAGUGCUUUUGAUACUGGCGAGCUAGAGGGAGAUAGGGGCAUGUGGAACUUCCGGUGGAGCGGUGAAAUGCGUUGAUAUCGGAAGGAACGCCGGUGGCGAAAGCGACGUGCUGGACCUCUUCUGACGCUGAGGCGCGAAAGCCAGGGGAGCGAACGGG